rnacentral:rRNA from 1 species
UACAGAGGGUGCGAGCGUUAAUCGGAAUUACUGGGCGUAAAGGGCUCGUAGGCGGCCAACUAAGUCAGACGUGAAAUCCCUCGGCUUAACCGGGGAACUGCGUCUGAUACUGGAUGGCUUGAGUGUGGGAGAGGGAUGCGGAAUUCCAGGUGUAGCGGUGAAAUGCGUAGAUAUCUGGAGGAACACCGGUGGCGAAGGCGGCAUCCUGGACCAUUACUGACGCUGAGGAGCGAAAGCCAGGGGAGCAAACGGG